GCCAGAGUGGCAUAGUGGUUUGAGCAUUGGACUACGAUUCUAGAGACCAGGGUUCAAUUCCUGCUUGGCCA